CGCGUGACUUUAUCCUCCGUUUACCGACUCAGAUUUUCCACGUUCAGAGUAUUUACGAUAUUGCCACCGCUCUCUUUUCCUUCUCCCUGUUCUGUUGUCUUCCGAUACAAUUUCUUCUCCCAUUUCCUUCUCUCGUUAUCUUCCUUUAUCUCUCCUUUUUUCCGUUGACAUGUCUUCUGCCGGCGGCGACGGUACCUCCGGCGAGCCUCGCCAAUACUUCUGUCACCAGUGCAAUCGCACCGUUUCUGUUACCCCUUCCCCGUCCUCCGAUCUUCUCUGCCCCAAUUGCAACGGCGGCUUCCUCGAAGAACUCGAAAUCCCUAACCCUAACCCUAUCCCUAUCCCGUCCAAUCCUUUCUUCCCCGACUUCCCUCUCACCGGGACCACCGCCAUUCCUCUCAUCUUCCCUGGAGGAACUGGCCAGCCCUUCGACGAUUUCUCCACCCUCUCCGGCACUCGAUCUGACGCCGCCACCGCCGAUACUGCCCUCGCCCCCUUUGUGCUCCUCCAGAACUACUUGCAAACCCUAAGAGCCGCUGGCGGCGGUGGAAACCUUCAACUGGUGAUUGAGUCCGGCGACCCCGGCGGAGCGUUUCGGUUUCCUGGCAUCACCCACGGUGACUACUUCUUCGGGACGGGCCUUGAGGAGCUGAUCCAGCACCUUGCCGAGAACGAUCCGAACCGCUAUGGCACCCCACCGGCUUCUAAGAAGGCGGUGGAGGGGCUGCCGGACGUCUCCGUCACCGACGAGCUGCUUGCGUCGGAUUCCUCACAAUGUGCAGUGUGCAAAGACACGUUCGAACUCGGUGAAACCGCGAAGCAGAUGCCCUGUAAGCAUAUAUAUCACGCGGACUGCAUUUUACCUUGGUUAGAAUUGCAUAAUUCCUGUCCCGUUUGUCGGUAUGAGCUGCCCACAGAUGAUCCUGAUUACGAGCAGAGGGCUCAUCGUGGUAGCGGUGGCGGUAGUGGAGGCGGUAGUGGUGGUACCGGCAGUGGGGUGGCUCCCCAGGUGAAUUGGAACCUGGCUGUGGGGCCUGGUGGUUCUGCGGAUUCGUCUGGUGGAGGAGACAAUUCCCAGCGGAGGAGGUUUAGGGUGGCUUUGCCAUGGCCCUUCAGGCAAUCUGUUUCUUCUGGUGCUGAGACAAGUAAUGUUGGCGGUGCCAACAAUGAUGACAACAGUAUAAAUGGUGGGGAAACCAAUAGUGGGCAAUCAAAUUCUGAAAACAGGGGAAAUCGGAACUUUGAGUCGGAGACCAGACAGGAAGAUCUAGAUUGAGAAGCACUCGUGUUUGAUAUGCUACCUUCAUUAAUUUGCUUUCAUGUUUCAGUGCUGCUAAGAUGACACUGACUGCAAAAAAAUUUCUGCACUGCCUGAUCUUGAUGGCAUACUUGUUGCCCUAUAGUGAAUUUGAAUUGGAUUAGACCAAACCCUUUUAAUUGGGCAGGUAUGUGGAGUUUUUCAAAUUUGCAGCAUUUGUUGAAUAGAAAUGAUGUUAAAUAUCAAUUAGUGGUUCGUGACAGUUGAAAAUGUUAUAUUGGAUUAUAAUGAAUUUGUGCAACUGUCCAUCACCAUUUUUUGAGUUCUUUAUAUAACUAGAUCAAUACCUGUACGAUGCACAGGCAGAAAAAGAAAAUUAAACCAGUGGCCCGUAUUUUUAUCAAGAGUUUGUGUAUAAGUAAUAAAAAAAUUACGCAAAAGAUGUGUAGGUCCAUAAUGCACAAAAAACCAACACGUGGAUGAGUAGAAAGUGGUUGGAUAGAAUUUAUAAUACUGCUACUAUUGAUGAUAUGUACAUUACUAUUGGUUCAAUAUUUUCUGAAUUUUUGUUUUUUA